GUGCUGAAGUUCGGCGACCACGCCGUUCAGAGGCAGUAUCUGUGCAGCUCAAGCGGCCACCGCCGCCUACAACAGGGCUCCCCUUAAAAGGGUCCCGGUGUCGGUUCGAGUCCGACCGGGG
rnacentral:tRNA from 1 species